rnacentral:rRNA from 1 species
CCUACGGGCGGCAGCAGUGGGGAAUAUUGGUCAAUGGGCGAAAGCCUGAUCCAGCCAUGCCGCGUGUGUGAAGAAGGCCUUCGGGUUGUAAAGCACUUUCAGUGGGGAAGAAAGCCUUGGGGCUAAUACCCUCGAGGAAGGACAUCACCCACAGAAGAAGCACCGGCUAACUCCGUGCCAGCAGCCGCGGUAAUACGGAGGGUGCGAGCGUUAAUCGGAAUUACUGGGCGUAAAGCGCGCGUAGGCGGUCUGAUAAGCCGGUUGUGAAAGCCCCGGGCUCAACCUGGGAACGGCAUCCGGAACUGUCAGGCUAGAGUGCAGGAGAGGAAGGUAGAAUUCCCGGUGUAGCGGUGAAAUGCGUAGAGAUCGGGAGGAAUACCAGUGGCGAAGGCGGCCUUCUGGACUGACACUGACGCUGAGGUGCGAAAGCGUGGGUAGCAAACAGGAUUAGAUACCCCAGUAGUC